AGCGAACGCUGGCGGCAGGCUUAACACAUGCAAGUCGAACGGGCACUUCGGUGUCAGUGGCAGACGGGUGAGUAACACGUGGGAACGUACCUCUUGGUUCGGAACAACACAGGGAAACUUGUGCUAAUACCGGAUAGCCCUUACGGGGAAAGAUUUAUCGCCGAGAGAUCGGCCCGCGUCUGAUUAGCUAGUUGGUAGGGUAACGGCCUACCAAGGCGACGAUCAGUAGCUGGUCUGAGAGGAUGAUCAGCCACAUUGGGACUGAGACACGGCCCAAACUCCUACGGGAGGCAGCAGUGGGGAAUAUUGGACAAUGGGGGCAACCCUGAUCCAGCCAUGCCGCGUGAGUGAUGAAGGCCCUAGGGUUGUAAAGCUCUUUUGUGCGGGAAGAUAAUGACGGUACCGCAAGAAUAAGCCCCGGCUAACUUCGUGCCAGCCGCCGCCGUAA
rnacentral:rRNA from 1 species